GCAGUUUAACGGUUCGCACAUCGGCGGGCGUAAAAAUUUACAAACCAAUUUCGGUGGUGAGCUGAUGCAAAAGUGGAGAAAAAUUACUUCUCAGGUGCCGAAGGAGAAGAGGAGAACAUCAUUGAAUCGCGGUGAAACAGAUAAUGCCGGUGAAAACAAAUCCGAAUCCGAAAUAACAGUGACCCUGUAUUGAUACAGUCAUGAAGUCAAGUGACCGGGAUGAUCGGUGCGCGUGUAAUUGGUAAGCAGCAGAAGAAGAAGAAGAAGAAGCAGAGGAAGAAAAAGAGAAAAAAGAAACCAGUGCAAACGUUGAACGGAAGACUAACCUAAA